CUUCAACACGGAAGGAAAAGUCUCCGAUCUGAGGAAUGGCAAGAGGUUGCUGAGAAGGUAUCGGAGGUCUCUAAGAUCGACAGGACUGACACACAAUGUCGUAACCGCCUGGAUACAUUGAAGAAGAAGUAUAAGAAGGAAAAAUCAAAAUCAACAGAAAUGGGUGGAUCUACAAGCAAAUGGGUUUACUUUAAGAAGAUGGACAUGUUGAUGUCUUCACCCCCAAACCAAGGUGGCCUAUCAUGUGGGUUAGAUUCGGG
rnacentral:misc_RNA from 1 species